rnacentral:rRNA from 1 species
AGAAUCAACGCUGGCGGCGUGCCUAACACAUGCAAGUCGAACGAGAAAGGGGUAGCAAUACCCUGAGUAAAGUGGCGCACGGGUGAGUAACACGUGACUAACCUACCCUUGAGUGGGGGAUAACUGAGGGAAACCUUAGCUAAUACCGCAUAACACUUACGAGUCAAAGCAGCAAUGCGCUUGGAGAGGAGUUCGCGGCCGAUUAGUUAGUUGGCGGGGUAAUGGCCCACCAAGACGAUGAUCGGUA